GACGUAGGGUGCAAGGCGUUGUCCGGAUUUAUUGGGCGUAAAGAGCUCGUAGGCGGCUUGUUGCGUCGACUGUGAAAACCCGCGGCUUAACCGCGGGCUUGCAGUUGAUACGGGCAGGCUAGAGUUCGGUAGGGGAGACUGGAAUUCCUGGUGUAGCGGUGAAAUGCGCAGAUAUCAGGAGGAACACCGGUGGCGAAGGCGGCAUCCUGGACCGAUACUGACGCUGAGGAGCGAAAGCCAGGGGAGCAAACGGG
rnacentral:rRNA from 1 species